rnacentral:rRNA from 1 species
GUAGUCCUGGCUGUAAACGAUGUCGACUUGGAGGUUGUGCCCUUGAGGCGUGGCUUCCGGAGCUAACGCGUUAAGUCGACCGCCUGGGGAGUACGGCCGCAAGGUUAAAACUCAAAUGAAUUGACGGGGGCCCGCACAAGCGGUGGAGCAUGUGGUUUAAUUCGAUGCAACGCGAAGAACCUUACCUGGUCUUGACAUCCACGGAAGUUUUCAGAGAUGAGAAUGUGCCUUCGGGAACCGUGAGACAGGUGCUGCAUGGCUGUCGUCAGCUCGUGUUGUGAAAUGUUGGGUUAAGUCCCGCAACGAGCGCAACCCUUAUCCUUUGUUGCCAGCGGUCCGGCCGGGAACUCAAAGGAGACUGCCAGUGAUAAACUGGAGGAAGGUGGGGAUGACGUCAAGCCAUCAUGGCCCUUACGACCAGGGCUACACACGUGCUACAAUGGCGCAUACAAAGAGAAGCGACCUCGCGAGAGCAAGCGGACCUCAUAAAGUGCGUCGUAGUCCGGAUUGGAGUCUGCAACUCGACUCCAUGAAGUCGGAAUCGCUAGUAAUCGUGGAUCAGAAUGCCACGGUGAAUACGUUCCCGGGCCUUGUACACACCGCCCGUCACACCAUGGGAGUGGGUUGCAAAAGAAGUAGGUAGCUUAACCUUCGGGAGGGCGCUUACCACUUUGUGAUUCAUGACUGGGGUGAAGUCGUAACAAGGUAACCGUAGGGGAACCUGCGGCUGGAUCACCUCC